rnacentral:misc_RNA from 2 species
AACGCACAUUGCGCCCAUUAGUAUUCUAGUGGGCAUGCCUGUUCGAGCGUCAUUUCAACCCCUAAGCACAGCUUAUUGUUGGGAAUCUACGCCCUAGUAGUUCCUCAAAGACAUUGGCGGAGUGGCAGUAGUCCUCUGAGCGUAGUAAUUCUUUAUCUCGCUUUUGUUAGGUGCUGCCUCCCCGGCCGUAAAACCCCCAAUUUUUUCUGGUUGACCUCGGAUCAGGUAGGAAUACCCGCUGAACUUAA